CAUUGGUUUUCUCUUGUGCCUAUUUAUUACAUACACCAUUGGGUACCAUAUGUAAUAAAUAGGCACAAGAGUAAACCAGUU